UGCUCGGGGCCGCCUCCUGCCUCCGCGGGCCAUGGCAGGGCCGGCGGCGGCUCCGGGUGGUGCUUCUCGCAGGUCAAGGAUCCACGACCCGGGCGUGCGGAAGGAGGAAGAGCCCGGCCCCCGCCUGAUGCCGCGUGUUGGUCGCUGUAACCUCGGCACAAGCUCCGCCGGCAGGUCCUGGGAAAAGCGCACUCUCUGGAAUUGGGCAUCACACCCGAGUGCGUGACCGCGACGGCAGUAAUUACCAGGCUUGCGUGCAGGUGGGUGCGGGUCUUCUGUGUCACUGCGCAGCCCGCGACCUGAGCCGUCCGUGGGCUGGCGGCGGCGAUCUGCUGCAGUCCUCGGGGCUCGUGGGUGUGGUCCGAGGCCAGGCCUCCAGCUCACAGCGCCUGGCACUGCCCAGGGCCUGGGUGUGGGUGUGGGCUGGGCCAACCAAGCGGCAGGUGCCUCAACGUGGAGCUCCUCCUGAAGAGUUACACACGUGGGCGGUGUUGCAGUGUCUGCACCUGGUGUGAAAGGAGGUUCUAGGUCUUUCUCACUUCGAUCCCAGUGCUCAGCUUUUUCCAUCCGUAUGCCUGGUCUGUGUGAAAUAAAGCUUUUAGAACCGAAACUGAACCUGAAGUACUUCUCCCCCCGCAGCUCUGCUGGGUCCCCAAGGGCUGCCCGCCUUGGUUUCCACUUGUUUGACAUCAUCUUGUUGAUGGCAUCAUUUUCUGGUCUGCAAAUCUCCUGCCAAGGGUUUGUGACGGCUUUUAGUGCCCAGAUGCCACCACCCUCCUCCACCUGCUCCUGGGCUGCUGCUGUCAGCCCGUCCAGCGACGACUCGCUUGUUCACCUCGUGUUAGAUCACCCCUGGGGGUCCCAGAACACCCGUCGUCCAGCGGGAGACAGAUGGUCCCACGAGGGCCUCCGGGUACGGGCUCCGCAGCCCAGCCUGUGUGUGUGGUCGCCGGGAUCCAGAGAGAUGGUCUCCCCCAACACAGGCUUGAAAUGGUGACACCAGCAGAGGCCUGCCCACCCGCCACCUGCCCGGUGAGGCCUGCCGCUCUUCUCCCGGGCAGGCGCGUCACAUCCCGUUUCACCCUGUUCCUGCCCAGGCCCGCAGCUCGCUUUGCUGCCACACCUCGCCUGGGUGGCGCGGCCUCUAGGUCAGGAGAAGCCCUGGGCCCAGCGUGGCAGCUCUGGGCGGGCCAGAAUUUGCCUUCCCAGGCCUGGCCCUCAGAAUAGAAAGACACUGACAUUUUAAACAAAACCUUAGGGGGGGUCCUGCCUCCCAGUUGGCACAGCGAGUGUCAGGUCACACGUGGGACAGGUCAGCUAGGGAGGACCCUGGUGCCUGUCCAGCGCACAGCUGGUCACCACACCCAUGGCUCGUCUACAAGGCUGCUGAGCCCCUAGGGGCCUGGUGCCCUUGGGCGGUGCGGAAGCCCACCCGACCCCAUGGGCCCAGAGGGUGCCUGGCCAAGGACACCGGCCGUGGGGGCAGCCGCAGGGCAGGUGACCCCGUGCACCUGCACAGACUCAGAUCAAAGUGCUCUGAGCUGCUGCUCCCGGGAGCCACAUCUAAAUAUGGUCAAAGGUUUUUUAAGUUAAAAUGUUACAUUUUUUUUUUAACACCUGAAGUUGCAGUGGAAAAGGGAAGCAAGAGCAACGGCUUGGCUCUUGGCUCAAGUACAGCAAACAGUGUAACCGGCUGGGGAGGCCUCCCCGCAGCUUCCAACUGCACGGAAAGUCGUCUUGGCAGGAUUUGGCAAAGAUUUAUUUGUUUCUAUCUCCAGGUUUUUUUAAGUAGACACAGAUUUGCUUAGAAUGAAGCGGACCCCAAGAGCACGUGAAACUGAACACAAGGGCAGAGGCCAGAUCGGCCUCAGGGGCUGAGGGUGGCCAGGGCCGCGUCCGCAGCAGACAGGCCGGAGCCUGGACUCGACCUGCGCUGGGGCCCUGCGCUUCCGGCCAGGGUGCGGGCCGAGCCCCUCCCACCACCUUAGCUGGGCGCUACUGAGCUUCCAGAACAAUAGUGUUUCUACUGAACUAAGGUUACUGAUCAUUUUCGUUAAAAUGCUACAUCACGACGACCAGUGUCGAGGGCACGCAGGUGUCAUCUCGCACCGUCCAAAGGAAGUCGGCUGCCGGCCCCGGCGCGCUGGCCAGCGGCGUACUU